rnacentral:rRNA from 1 species
GGGGGGGGGGGGGGGCGGGCGGAGGGCAGGCAGGGCGAGCGGGGGGGCCCAGCGUGCGGGGUGGGUUAGUGGCGAACGGGGGAGUAACACGUGAGUGACCUGCCCUUGACUCGGGGAUAAGCCUGGGAAACUGGGUCUAAUACCGGAUACGACCAUCUGGCGCAUGUCAUGGUGGUGGAAAGCUUUUGUGGUUUUGGAUGGACUCGCGGCCUAUCAGCUUGUUGGUGGGGUAAUGGCCUACCAAGGCGACGACGGGUAGCCGGCCUGAGAGGGUGACCGGCCACACUGGGACUGAGACACGGCCCAGACUCCUACGGGAGGCAGCAGUGGGGAAUAUUGCACAAUGGGCGCAAGCCUGAUGCAGCGACGCCGCGUGAGGGAUGACGGCCUUCGGGUUGUAAACCUCUUUCAGUAGGGAAGAAGCGAAAGUGACGGUACCUGCAGAAGAAGCGCCGGCUAACUACGUG